rnacentral:rRNA from 1 species
UACGGAGGGGACUAGCGUUGUUCGGAAUUACUGGGCGUAAAGCGCACGUAGGCGGAUUUGUAAGUCAGGGGUGAAAUCCCGGGGCUCAACCUCGGAACUGCCCUUGAUACUGCAAAUCUCGAGUCCGGAAGAGGUGAGUGGAAUUCCUAGUGUAGAGGUGAAAUUCGUAGAUAUUCGGAAGAACACCAGUGGCGAAGGCGACUCACUGGACAGGUAUUGACGCUGAGGUGCGAAAGCGUGGGGAGCAAACAGG